AUGAGUGAUGAUGCUAACACAGACUAUAAUUUUUUACACAAUAAUGACGUUAAAAUAAUGAUAGAAAACAACGAAAAGGAUAUAAACUCUUUUGUUCUUAAUAAAAAAAUGAACUUAACGCAAGAAAAAAAUGAAAAUAUUAAAAAAAAAAAAAAAUUAAUUUUAAAUCAUCCUGAUGUUUUUGUCAACAAUUCAAUUUUAUCAAAAGAAUUAAAAAAAAACAUACUUACAUACAAUGAAUUACUAUUUGGUGAUAUAAAUAAAAGUUAUGAACAAAUAACAGAUCUAUACAAUAGUAACAAUUUUAAACAAACUAUGGAGAAACUAAAAUAUAAUUGUAAUAAAUCUAUACAAACAAACAUCCAUUUAAAUCAUAUUUUUAAAAUACCUUUAUUAAUGUAUAUAUCUAAUGAAAAAAAAGACUUACAACAAUCUAUAAAAUAUAUUAAAAUCGGUUCUAAAAUAAAAACUUUCCUUUAUAAAUAUUAUUAUACUUCUAAUUUAAACAACGUACAAUCAAUAAAUUAUUUAAAAACGUAUGAACAACAGAUGAAUAAGGAAGUUAAAAAAACUAAAGAAUAUAUAAAUAAAACUAUUAUGAAAUGUGAAAAUAUACAAAACUUAAAACUAUAUUUGCAAUAUUUAUAUGAUAUAUUUCAUUAUUUUAAUUUGACGUAUGAUGGGUCAAACAUGAAGACAAAAAUGGGAGCUAGCGAAGAUAAAAAUGGGGUAACUAUGGANNNNNNNNNNGGGGUAACUAUGGAAGAUGGUAAAGAAAAAAAUGGGGUAACUAUGGACGAUGGUAAAAAAAAAAAUGGGGUAAAUAGUAUAAACGAGUUAACACAAACGUCAGCAAACGAAGAUGACAGAACCGAACAAACAAAAAUAGAACACGGAAAAAACACAUUUUUAAAAUUAAAACAUUAUAAUAUAUUAUCAUCUAUAAAAAAGGAACUUUUUUUUAAUGAAAAAGAAAAUUACAUAAGUGUUUACCAAAUUAUAAAUACAAUUUUAAAUAAAAUUGCACAAUUAACAAAAUUAUACGAAAUAUUAUUUAAUUCAGUUGAUACAUUAUUGUGUAAACAUAUAAUAUAUUUAUAUUACUUUGCGCUUAUGUUAAUAAAUAUUAAAAUAAUACAUAAAAAUAAUUUACUAUUAACAAAUAAUGACGGUAUUACUAACAAUGUUAAUGUAAAUGAUGAAAUAAAUAUAUUAAAUAAUUUUAAUAAUAGAGUACUUACACAAACGAGUAAUAAAAAUUGUUAUAAUGAUGAUUCUGUUAGGGGAGAUAAAUUGUUUGUAAAAGAUCAAGUGCGAGAUCAUGAAAAGGAAAAGGGAAAGGAAAAGGAAAAGGAAAAGGAAAAGAAAAAGGAAAAAGAAAAAGAAAAAGAAAAAGAAAAAGAAAAAGAAAAGGAAAAAGAAAAAAAAAAGGAAAAGCGUAACAUACCAAGUGAAAAAAAUAACGAAUCCAUUAGGGAGUACGGACAAAAGAGCAACGACAAAAAUGAAGAAAAAAAUAAAAAUAUAAAAAAAAAUAUUUCCACUAACAUUGCAACUACGAAAUAUCCAUUUUUAAAUUUAAAUGGUUGCAUAUUUAAUUAUAUAUACUACUAUGUUUUUUUCAAAGACAAGCAAAAAAAAAUUAUUUAUAACGAUUGUAAUAAGAAAAAAGAAAAUUGCAACAAUGUAAAUAAUAAUACUACUACGGAUGGUAUUAUGACAACGGUAAAAAACGAUAAAUAUUAUACACAUAAACAAAAUACAUAUUUACAAGAUAAGGCUACUAACAUGACACAUACCCAAAAUGCGUCUAUACAAAACCAUUUUAACUUGAUUAACUAUUUAUAUAAAGAAGAAUGCGAAAAAUAUAAAAUAGAAAAAAAGAAAAAGAAAAAAAAGUUUAUAUAUUUCAACCAUUAUACAUCGAUUCAAUAUUAUAUUCAAAAACAAAAAAUGAAAGAAACUGUUAUUAAUUUGAAUUAUUGUAGAAAAAAUUAUUUGCGUUUUUUUUUACUAAAUGGUAACAAUAGUGAAAAAAACAAUAAUAACAUGCAAAAAGGCAACAAUAAUAGCAACAAAAACUAUAUGGUAGGCCUUGAAAUAUCUACUUUAUUCGACAACUUAUUAAAUAAAAUAUUCAUAACAUACAUUUACGAGUUUCUUCAAAAGAAUAAUUAUUACUUUUUAAAAAACAUUUUAUUUUAUAAUGAUAACGAUGAAGGUAGUUAUAAUAACAGCAAUGACUAUAAUAACAACUCAAAUGACAUAAGUGCAAUUAGAACGUCUAUUAAAAAUCAAAAAAAAGAUUUACUGAUAAACGUUUUCGAAGUUCUAAAAUCAAAAAAAUAUGACAAUAAUGUGAGUGAGUAUGAUAAGGUACUAGGAACGGGUUCCACAAAUGUUGACCCAUAUGACAACACACCCAACCCAGACCAAACAAAACAUAUAUACAAAAGCUAUAAUAAAAAAUUAGAUUUAACAAAAAUUACAGAAAAAAUAAAACAUCCUUUUUUAGCUACCUAUUUUUACAACAUUAUUUUUAUUUUAAGACAUAUUAAACUAUAUAUUGAUAAAUCUUUAUUUUAUAUAAUAAUACAUUUAUUUGAAAAUUCGUUUACAAAUAUUAUUGAAAUAUUAACAAUGAAAGUAGUAACAAAUGCAAAUUUAUUUUUUAAAUAUUCUAUAUUUUAUUUUAUCAUUGAAAAUCUUUUUAAUAUUAUUUUCCCUUAUACAUUUUCAUUCCUUUCGUGCGCUUUCGAAAUGAGCCUUACAAAUUCAACGGAAAAAAUACUUAACGUUCUUAGUAACUUUUCUAUGUAACCAAUAAAAUAGGAACUGUUUUCUGUUUUUUUAAAUAG
rnacentral:lncRNA from 1 species